rnacentral:rRNA from 1 species
AACCGGAUUAGAUACCCUGGUAGUCCACGCCCUAAACGAUGCAUAUUUGGUGUGGGCAGUUCAGUCUGUCCGUGCCGGAGCUAACGCGUUAAAUAUGCCGCCUGGGGAGUACAGUCGCAAGGCUGAAACUCAAAGGAAUUGACGGGGGCCCGCACAAGCGGUGGAGCAUGUGGUUCAAUUCGACGCAACGCGAAGAACCUUACCUGGGCUCGAACGGCUGGUUAACGCCGGUGGAAACAUCGGUACUCCGCAAGGAGGUCCAGUCGAGGUGCUGCAUGGCUGUCGUCAGCUCGUGUCGUGAGAUGUUGGGUUAAGUCCCGCAACGAGCGCAACCCUUGUCCUGUGUUGCCAUCAUUCAGUUGGGAACUCGCAGGAGACCGCCAGGGAUAACCUGGAGGAAGGUGGGGAUGACGUCAAGUCCUCAUGGCCUUUAUGUCCAGGGCUACACACGUGCUACAAUGGCCGGUACAAAGCGCCGCAAACCCGCGAGGGGGAGCCAAUCGCAAAAAACCGGUCUCAGUUCGGAUUGCAGGCUGCAACCCGCCUGCAUGAAGCUGGAAUCGCUAGUAAUGGCAGAUCAGCACGCUGCCGUGAAUACGUUCCCGGGCCUUGUACACACCGCCCGUCACAUCACGAAAGUGGAUUGUACUAGAAGUCUGCGCGCUGACCCGCAAGGGAGGCAGCGGCCCAAGGUAUGAUUCAUGAUUGGGGUGAAGUCGUAACAAGGUAACC